rnacentral:piRNA from 1 species
UGAUGUGAUUCCCAACGCCACCACGGGU